rnacentral:tRNA from 1 species
GCUUUUGGUUCAGUGGUAGAAUGCUCGCCUGCCACGCGGGCGCGCCGGGUUCGAUUCCCGCCGAUGCA